GACGAACGCUGGCGGCGUGCUUAACACAUGCAAGUUGAACGGAAAGGCCCUGCUUUUGUGGGGUGCUCGAGCGGCGAACGGGUGAGUAACACGUGAGUAACCUGCCCUUGACUUUGGGAUAACUUCAGGAAACUGGGGCUAAUACCGGAUAGGAGCUCCUGCUGCAUGGUGGGGGUUGGAAAGUUUCGGCGGUUGGGGAUGGACUCGCGGCUUAUCAGCUUGUUGGUGGGGUAGUGGCUUACCAAGGCUUUGACGGGUAGCCGGCCUGAGAGGGUGACCGGCCACAUUGGGACUGAGAUACGGCCAGACUCCUACGGGAGGCAGCAGUGGGGAAUAUUGCACAAUGGGCGGAAGCCUGAUGCAGCAACGCCGCGUGCGGGAUGACGGCCUUCGGGUUGUAAACCGCUUUCGCCUGUGACGAAGCGUGAGUGACGGUAAUGGGUAAAGAAGCACCGGCUAACUACGUG
rnacentral:rRNA from 1 species